CCUACGGGAGGCAGCAGUGAGGAAUAUUGGUCAAUGGUCGGGAGACUGAACCAGCCAAGCCGCGUGAGGGAUGACGGUACUGAGUAUUGUAAACCUCUUUUGUCAGGGAACAAAGCCGGGGACGCGUCCCCGGAUGAGUGUACCUGAAGAAAAAGCAUCGGCUAACUCCGUGCCAGCAGCCGCGGUAAUACGGAGGAUGCGAGCGUUAUCCGGAUUUAUUGGGUUUAAAGGGUGCGCAGGCGGUCUGUUAAGUCAGCGGUCAAAGCCCGGGGCUCAACCCCGGCCCGCCGUUGAAACUGGCAGUCUCGAGUUGGAGAGAAGUAUGCGGAAUGCGUGGUGUAGCGGUGAAAUGCAUAGAUAUCGCGCAGAACUCCGAUUGCGAAGGCAGCAUGCCGGCUCCACACUGACGCUGAGGCACGAAAGCGUGGGUAUCGAACAGGAUUAGAUACCCUUGUAGUC
rnacentral:rRNA from 1 species